GUCCACACUGUAAACGUUGAUGACUCGAUGUUGGCGAUACACAGCCAGCGUCCAAGAGCAAUCGUUAAGUCAUCCACCUGGGGAGUACGCCGGCAACGGUGAAACUCAAAGGAAUUGACGGGGUCGCACAAGCGGUGGAGCAUGUGGUUUAAUUCGAUGAUACGCGAGGAACCUUACCUGGGCUAGAAUGCCAUUGACUGGUACAGAGAUGUAUCGUUUCGCAAGAACAAGGAGCAAGGUGCUGCAUGGCUGUCGU
rnacentral:rRNA from 1 species